rnacentral:piRNA from 1 species
UACCUUAGCUGUGUGACUAGGAUGGGAUC